UGGGGAAUAUUGGACAAUGGGCGCAAGCCUGAUCCAGCAAUGCCGCGUGUGUGAAGAAGGCCUUCGGGUUGUAAAGCACUUUUAUCAGGAGCGAAAUACUACCGGCUAAUACCCGGUGGGGCUGACGGUACCUGAGGAAUAAGCACCGGCUAACUUCGUGCCAGCAGCCGCGGUAAUACGAAGGGUGCAAGCGUUAAUCGGAAUUACUGGGCGUAAAGCGUGCGUAGGCGGUUUCUUAAGUCUGCUGUGAAAUCCCCGGGCUCAACCUGGGAAUGGCAGUGGAUACUGGGAAGCUAGAGUGUGUCAGAGGAUGGUGGAAUUCCCGGUGUAGCGGUGAAAUGCGUAGAGAUCGGGAGGAACAUCAGUGGCGAAGGCGGCCAUCUGGGACAACACUGACGCUGAGGCACGAAAGCGUGGGGAGCAAACA
rnacentral:rRNA from 1 species